rnacentral:rRNA from 1 species
AUACGGAGGGUGCAAGCGUUACUCGGAAUCACUGGGCGUAAAGCGCAUGCAGGCGGUCUAAUAAGUUGGAAGUGAAAGCCUAUGGCUCAACCAUAGAACUGCUUCCAAAACUGUUAGGCUCGAGUCUGGGAGGGGAAGAUGGAAUUAGUAGUGUAGGGGUAAAAUCCGUAGAGAUUACUAGGAAUACCAAAAGCGAAGGCGAUCUUCUGGAACAGUACUGACGCUGAGAUGCGAAAGCGUGGGGAGCAAACAGGAUUAGAAACCCUAGUAGUCC